CGUCUGCGGCACCCACCCGUUGGCCGGGCGGGGGUGCACGAUGGCUUGGAAUGAUCCAACCAUUUCGCCCGCGUCCCGAGCCUGUGUGCCACACGUGCCCCAUCGCAAGCAGCCUUGCUCUGACGCUGCAAAUGUUGCCCAUGGCAUCAAAUGCAAGUGCGAGAAAGGCUGAUGGGUGUACUGGUCGGUUCUGGUCGCCAAAUAAAAUUCCUCAGGGAAAAGGAUUGGCAAGGGAUCCAAACCGACUGGGGUUGACAACCGCAGUCCCACUGGCAGGGAUCUGGACUGAUCUGCUGUUUGGUGCACUGCGUCAAUCUUCCCCGUGCCUCCAAUCAUCAGCAGUGAAUCUGUUAUUGGCGUCGAGACAUUGUAUGUCCGCGUCGCAAAUCUAGAAACACACUGUACAAUGGAUUUCUCGGCUCCCACAUCGAUGAA
rnacentral:misc_RNA from 1 species